rnacentral:siRNA from 1 species
GAUCGUCUUUUUGAUUUAGUACA